rnacentral:rRNA from 1 species
AUUGAACGCUGGCGGCAUGCUUUACACAUGCAAGUCGAACGAGAAGCCCGGGCUUGCCCGGGUGGACAGUGGCGAACGGGUGAGUAACACGUGAGGAACCUGCCCCGAAGACCGGGACAACACCGGGAAACCGGCGCUAAUACCGGAUGCCCUCACCGGAUCGCAUGGUCUGGUGAAGAAAUGGAUGCCGCUUCGGGAUGGCCUCGCGGCCUAUCAGCUUGUUGGGGGGGUAAUGGCGCACCAAGGCGACGACGGGUAGCUGGUCUGAGAGGAUGUCCAGCCACACUGGGACUGAGACACGGCCCAGACUCCUACGGGAGGCAGCAGUUAGGAAUCUUGCGCAAUGGGCGAAAGCCUGACGCAGCGACGCCGCGUGCGGGAUGAAGGCCUUCGGGUUGUAAACCGCUUUCAGCAGGGACGAAAUUGACGGUACCUGCAGAAGAAGCCCCGGCCAACUACGUGCCAGCCGCCGCUGUAAGAC